AAAAUGAGUAGAGUGAUCUGCAAAUCGAUUCUAUCACCUUCUCUCACUUCCACUCAACUUCGGAUCGCUCCGCUCCGAACCUCCGCCACAAAGGCUUCCCGGAUGGCCGGCGAAGCUUCCUCUCCCCCGCCGCCGCAAUCUUCGUCUUCAUCUGCCGCACCUUCUCCUUCUCCUUCCUCCGCCAUCGAUUUCCUCUCUCUGUGCCACCGUCUCAAGACAACAAAACGAGCAGGAUGGAUACGAAAAGAGGUUCAGGAACCAGAAUCAAUAGCUGAUCAUAUGUAUCGGAUGGGAUUAAUGGCUCUUAUAGCUUCUGAUCUUCCUGGUGUCAACCGUGAAAAGUGUAUAAAAAUGGCAAUUGUUCAUGAUAUUGCUGAAGCUAUUGUUGGUGAUAUCACUCCUGCUGAUGGUAUUCCAAAGCAAGAAAAGAGUCGACGUGAGCAAGAAGCACUGAAGAACAUGUGCGAACUACUUGGUGGAGGAGCACGAGCUAAGGAGAUCAGCGAUUUGUGGAUGGAGUACGAAGAGAAUUCUUCAAUGGAAGCUAAGGUUGUUAAGGACUUCGAUAAGGUAGAGAUGAUACUUCAAGCCUUAGAAUACGAAAAAGAGCAAGGAAAAGAUUUGGAAGAGUUUUUUGAGUCAACUGCAGGCAAGUUUCAAACUGAUUUGGGGAAAGCUUGGGCUCUGGAAGUAGCAUCAAGGAGAAGAAAGCAGUAACAUCUUAACAGAAAAAAAAAAUCGUAACUCUUCGAAACUUUUGUUUCUAGAAGCCAGUUCUUACUAGAAUGAUUUGCACUCUUCAGGAAAAAGGAUAAAAAAUUAAAAACACAACCGUUGUUACCAUUGCUGACUGGAUAAACCCUCAUAAUUUUUUUUUGGGUAAUUCCUUAUUUUCAUUUUCAUAAAUUUGUGGUUCUUAAUAAAAUUAAUAAUAAUGUUGUGGUUAAUUGUAUUGUUCCACUAAGUUGGCU